CCUUGCGCUCUUUGAGCGGCCGAUAUCGGAUUAGCUUGUUGGUGAGGUAAAGGCUCACCAAGGCGACGAUCCGUAGCUGGUCUGAGAGGACGACCAGCCACACUGGAACUGAGACACGGCCCAGACUCCUACGGGAGGCAGCAGUGGGGAAUUUUGGACAAUGGGGGCAACCCUGAUCCAGCCAUUCCGCGUGAGUGAAGAAGGCCUUCGGGUUGUAAAGCUCUUUUGUCGGGGACGAAACGGUUUCACCUAAUACGUGAGACUACUGACGGUACCCGAAGAAUAAGCACCGGCUAACUACGUG
rnacentral:rRNA from 1 species